AUUGAACGCUGGCGGAAUGCUUUACACAUGCAAGUCGAGCGGCAGCGCGGGGGCAACCCUGGCGGCGAGCGGCGAACGGGUGAGUAACAUAUCGGAACGUACCCCGUCGUGGGGGAUAACACAGCGAAAGCUGUGCUAAUACCGCAUACGACCUGAGGGUGAAAGCGGGGGAUCGCAAGACCUCGCGCGAUGGGAGCGGCCGAUAUCGGAUUAGCUUGUUGGUGAGGUAAAGGCUCACCAAGGCGACGAUCUGUAGCGGGUCUGAGAGGAUGAUCCGCCACACUGGAACUGAGACACGGUCCAGACUCCUACGGGAGGCAGCAGUGGGGAAUUUUGGGACAAUGGGGGCAACCCUGAUCCAGCCAUGCCGCGUGAGUGAAGAAGGCCUCGGUGUAAGGACGUCUUUCGGUCCGGGAAGGAAAU
rnacentral:rRNA from 1 species